UCCAGGGAACAAAACUGCUUGUCAGUCCAAAGCCUGAACACCGAUACUGGGGGUCAGCUCAGGGAUAACACUCAUGUGUGACUCAAGUGGUUUCUACAAGGCAAGAGAGCGUCCGUGUGAGGCUCAGCUACUGCCACCCUGCUUCCUCCAGGUAUCAGCUGUGAUCAAGAGGAGCUGGUUUCUGUGGAGGGGGACGCCCUGUGUGAGAUCCCCUGCCAGUCUUGAUGGUAAACGGACAAGAACAGCGGCCAGAGUCUUAAAAGGAUGUGUAAAUGAAGGGUACAGAUUUCUCAAGGAUGAAGGUUUGGGGUACCCCAACAGAUCUCACCCAGGAUACCACAUUACAUUUGGUUGUCACGUCUCCUUAGGAUUCUCCAGACUGUGAAAUUUCCUCUGACUUUCCUUCCUUUUGAUGACCCCAGCAGUUUUGAGGAGUACUGGUCAGAUAAUACUUUGCAGAAUGCCCUUCUCUUGGAAUUUGUCUGGUGUUUUUCUCAUAGUUGGACUACCAUGAGUUCUUGGGAGGUCAAGUGCCAUUUUCAUCUCAUUAUAGUAACAUGGCUUAUGUCUAAUUGAUGUUGACCUUGAUCACCUGGCUGAGGUAGUGUUUGUCAGGUUUCUCCUUUAUUUUUCCCUUUCAUGCUCUACUCUCAGAAGGAAGUCACCAUGUGCAGCGCAUACAUAAGAAGUGAAGCAUUAUGCUCUCCCAUCUGAAGGCAGAGCAUCUACAUAAAUUUUUGGAAUUCUCCUGCGUGGGAGACUCAUCUCUCCUCUGACAUUUAUUUACAUCAAUACAGACUCUUGGGUAUUUCUUUUAUACUCUGGGUUAUAAUUCAGUCUACCUUAUUUAUUUUGCUACUCACAUUGGCACUGGGGCUCUUUGGGUAUUAGGUGCUCCUCCAUUUGCUUCCUGUGCCCCUUUGGCACACUAGUUUGGAUUGGUGUUUGUGUCUCACCCUUGCCCCUCCACAUUCAUAUGUCGAAGCCCUAAUUCCAAACAUGUUGGUACUUAGAGGUGGGCAUUUGGGUGGUAAUUAUGGUUAGAUGAGUUCAUGAGGACCCUCUUAUAUUGGGAUUAGUGCCUUUAUAAGAAGAGACACUGGAGAGCCUGUUUCUCUCUCUCCAGGAAUCCACACAAAGAUCACGUGAUCACACAGUGAAAUGGUGGCUGCCUACAUACCAAGA